UGCGUAGGCGGCCCUGUAAGUCAGAGGUGAAAGGCUACGGCUUAACCGUAGUAAGCCUUUGAAACUAUAGGGCUUGAGUGCAGGAGAGGAAAGUGGAAUUCCUAGUGUAGCGGUGAAAUGCGUAGAUAUUAGGAGGAACACCAGUGGCGAAGGCGACUUUCUGGACUGUAACUGACGCUGAGGCACGAAAGCGUGGGGAGCGAACA
rnacentral:rRNA from 1 species